rnacentral:rRNA from 1 species
CCUACGGGAGGCAGCAAUAGGGAAUAUUGCUCAAUGGGGGAAACCCUGAAGCAGCAACGCCGCGUGGAGGAUGAAGGUUUUCGGAUUGUAAACUCCUUUUGUUAGAGAAGAUAAUGACGGUAUCUAACGAAUAAGCACCGGCUAACUCCGUGCCAGCAGCCGCGGUAAUACGGAGGGUGCAAGCGUUACUCGGAAUCACUGGGCGUAAAGAGCGCGUAGGCGGGAUAGCAAGUCAGAUGUGAAAUCCUAUGGCUUAACCAUAGAACUGCAUUUGAAACUGUUAUUCUAGAGUAUGGGAGAGGUAGGUGGAAUUCUUGGUGUAGGGGUAAAAUGCGUAGAGAUCAAGAGGAAUACUCAUUGCGAAGGCGACCUGCUAGAACAUAACUGACGCUGAUGCGCGAAAGCGUGGGGAGCAAACAGGAUUAGAUACCCUAGUAGUC